GCCCAGACUAGGAAGGCAUCCAGUCUGUGAUAGCAGCUUAUUGAAAGGUCUCUGAGGGUGAGAAUUUAUCUGUAUUCAGUUUUCUUACAUAUUAGACAUAGACUUGCGUGUUCUAUUUUAUUUUGCUUGAUACUUCACUUUGUUCUGCCUGUUACUACUUGGAUCCACUUAAAUCCUGCUUUUUGUAUUUAAUAAAAUCACUUUUUACUUAUUAAUUAA